rnacentral:misc_RNA from 1 species
UGGCUCUGGCAUCGAUGAAGAACGCAGCGAAAUGCGAUAAGUAAUGUGAAUUGCAGAAUUCAGUGAAUCAUCGAAUCUUUGAACGCACAUUGCGCCCGCCGGCACUCCGGCGGGCAUGCCUGUCCGAGCGUCAUUACAACCCUCAGGCCCCGCCUGGCGUCGGGAGACCGCGGUCACGCGGCUCCCCAGAGACAGCGGCGGCGGGCGUCCCUCGCACCGAGCGUAGUAGUUUACCACCUCGCUCCGGUCGGAGGCGUCCGUCCUUGCCGUAAAACCCCCAACUCUCAGUAGUUUGACCUCGGAUCAGGUAGGAAUACCCGCUGA